ACGGAGAGUCAAGCAGAGGAGUACGUGCGGGUUAAUGAGGAAUGAAUGAGGGAUUUCUGAAUAACAGCUUAAUUCAGGGAUUAAUUCAGUCCUUUAAUUCACGGAGAGUGAGUUAAUCUGCCGGAUUAUUCAGUUCUGAUGGUGUUCAUCUGUUUAAACGUCCUCUUCUGUUAUGUUUACUUUUGAACGGCACUGAUGUGAGCAGAGCUGUAGGUUAGCUGUGGUCAGUUCGCUGCUGGACUGUGUUUAUCAGCCGUUUAAAACCUCCUCAUCUCUCCUUUAUCGCUCACAGCGCUCUGAGUCUCCCUAAGGACCGAACUCAGGCGGGUUAAACUGGACCGGACGGGACCGGAGGGGAGCUCCAGCAGCUGUAGUUCGUCUCUGAGUGAUGGCGCUGCAUCCAGCCAAGAGAGAGGCGCUGGUGGCGUGGGUGAACAGUCUGGACCUGGGCGAACGUGUGGAGAGUUUCAAUGACCUGCAGGACUGCCG
ensembl:lncRNA